rnacentral:lncRNA from 1 species
UCUUCCGUUUUCGGAGGUUCUUCCUCUAAAUUCGUGGCCGAUUGUUGCGGUUCGGAUCCGAGCAGUUGGAUCUGGGGCGUGACAAUCUCACUUCGCCAAAAUACCACUUUUAUUGUUUUCACUUACGUGCAACCAAACAUGCCCUUAUAAGAACUAGAAAAAACUUCAAAAAGCCCUCAUGUGGUUUCACACUUUCUCACUUUAGUACCCUGUGGUUUAAAGUGUAUCAAUUUAGUGCCCUAUGGUUUCAUUUUUUGCUUUUUAUUAUCGAUUUCACUAUUUUUUUUCUUAAUUCAGUGACAAAGUUAAAAUUAAAGGGUACUAAAGUGAAUAUUCGAUAAACCUAGGUGGGUAUCUAAACUUUUUUGUAUAUAAUUUAACGAAAUAUUAACGAAAAAAUUGCCGAAAAGAUAAAAAUAAAACAACAUGGCACCAAAUUGAUACACUUUAAACCACAGGAUACUAAAGUGAGAAAGUGCGAAACCACAGGGGGUUUUUAAGUUUUUCCUAAAAAC